CAGUGCUGUUGAAUUUGGGAUUACUUGCUAGUACAAUGUUACUGUCACAUUUUUCUUGAAAAAUGAGUAAUUACAGCUGGCUCAGGUUAACGGAUAUUUUGUGGUUGCAUUGUUAAGCUGCACUCCUGUAUUAUUAUUAUGGCAUGUUAAACAAGGGUCCUGAACAAAAAUGUUCAUCACUGUGCUUCAUGGUGAACACAAGGCAGAUAUUUUUAACAUUCAUUGCAAAGUCCAGAUUCUCCUAGAUGGCAUUAAACAUCGCUGUGGCUGUGAGGAUGAAGAAGAAAUAGACUUAGCAGACGAGAGUGGCCAAGUAAAGAAUUUACUCCAAAACAAGCACCGCUCUGCAAUUGAGCUUCUUGAAGAACGAGAGACUUAUGUACUCCUUGGUAUUACAAUCACUAAACUCGCAGCUUGGCAAGAGCAAAAGAAACCUUCUCCCAGGAUGAAAUCCAAAAGGGCUCAUAGAAGGUCAAACCUAGAUAUUCCAGCUGCUGUAGGCUUACGGAACCAUUCACCCCAUGGCAGUAGAACAAGGACUCCCAUUGGAUCCCCAAAGUCAAGCAGGAAAAAUUGACGUUUCACUGAGUGUCAACUGAUAACCAAUGCUAAAUAUAUAUUUUUCUUCUUUUUGGUGCCAUAUUAGACAUGCAAUUCUAAUUGUAAUCCUCAUUGGCCAGUUUUGCACAUAGCUUCAAGCACACGUAGUAUGUUGCAGUAUAGAUGUGCCAAUUGUGUCUCAACGUAAGCAAUUAGCUAUAGAACUGAAGGCGACAUUUAUAUAUUUUUACAUCUCUUUUUGGAUGGAUCUUUGGUUUCUUAUUUUUUUCCAGAGUUUUAGAAGAGUUUUAAUAAAUGUUCCUAAAAUGAGAACCUCGGGAUCUUCUGAUGCUUCUUGCUGCUUCAUUUUUCAUUUGUUUGACUUAUUUAUUAUUUUAUUAUUAUUUAUUUACAGCAUUUAUACUCAACCCUUCUCACCCCGAAGGGGACUCAGGGCGGAUCACAUUACACAUAUAGGCAAACAUUCAAUGCCUUUUAACAUAGAACAAAGACAAGACAAACAUAGGCUCCGAGCAGGGCUCGAACUCAUGAGUGAUUCAUUGCAGUUAAUUGCACUGGCUUGCUCUCCCCGCCUGCGCCACAGCCCGGACUUAAACAUGAAUGCUAUUAAUCUUAACAGUGCUCAGAUGCAAAAAGUUCAGGAACACUAGCCAAGGUUCAC
rnacentral:lncRNA from 11 species